CUAAAGGAUAAAGGGUAACAAAUUGCUUGCUUAGAACUAUUCCAAUGUAAUGGAAUUUUACCUAACUUCCAGCCUUUGGGGUUCAAAUUUAGGUUUAAUUUCUCAUUUACUGUAGCCUCAUUCAAUACCAUAUUCAUGCCAAAAAAAUUUAGGAAAACGUAAGCAUGACUUUGAGAGGCUUUGACAUUUCCAUAGCUGCUUUCUUCACGUCAUUUGUCCAGGCUACAUGGAUGUAAACAUACCCACCCUCAUAAGGCUCAGCAGGUGAGCUACAGGGAGCUUUUGUUCCAUCUGGACUAGUUCCCUCUGUCGCUGGUGCUCUGCUCUCAUCUUGAUCCUCCUUCACUGCAUUCUGGGGAUCCCCCUCUUCUCUCUUCUGAAUAAGACCUUGGGUUUCCUGGAUCCUGUGUCUGCCUCUUGCUGGAUUAACUUUCUUGUUUUGAUGGAAAACACCCUCCAGCAGUUUCCUGAGAAAAGGUGCACAAAAUGGGAACGAACAAGGCCUGUUGUUGCUUUGCUGAUGGCCACCUAAAGGGCCAAACCAGGAGCCUUUCCAGGGACCACUACUGGCUUUUAGCCAGAGGUUACCCUGGAUGGUGCUUUACUUACAUACAGUCUCUCCUUUGGACCUUUGACUAUAUUCCCACCAUUUCUAAAGCCACCAUCUGCGUCUCUGUGCCUGCGGCUCUUUCCCCAGGAGUAAGGGAAGCUAUAUUGCUGGUCAAGCUGCAGACCAGAAGUGUCAAAAAAUUAACACACUUCUAUCACCAGAUAUGGUACUCAAUAAUGACUCUCAAGAGUUAAUGUAUAAAUACCCCAACCUCGGUUAGGAUAAUUACAAGGUGUGUGCUUUGCACUGAUCCCAGUUUCCCUGUGGCUUAAUAAUCAACCUUCUCUUUCCUGUUUAGCCUUUCUUUCCUGGAGU